rnacentral:rRNA from 1 species
GGAGGAUGCGAGCGUUAUCCGGAUUUAUUGGGUUUAAAGGGUGCGUAGGCGGACGGUCAAGUCAGCGGUAAAAAUGCGGUGCUCAACGCCGUACAGCCGUUGAAACUGGCAGUCUUGAGUGGGCGAGAAGUAUGCGGAAUGCGUGGUGUAGCGGUGAAAUGCAUAGAUAUCACGCAGAACUCCGAUUGCGAAGGCAGCAUACCGGCGCCCUACUGACGCUGAGGCACGAAAGCGUGGGUAUCGAA